GAGGUCGAGCCGCUGGAUCCUACCUAACCCUACUCCCCCUCGUAUUGCCCGAUUUUAAUGAAAAGGAGUAUUUGAAGGAGAUGGCAGACGAAGGUCUGGAGAAAUUUACCUAGGUGGGCAGCAGUCCUGGUCUGGAUGUGGUAAAGGCCAGCACGGCUGUUGACGACAGUUUGGAUGCUAAAGUUUCUCUCGCUAUAUAAACUUUUUAAGAAUUUUUGUAUCAAACUCUCUUUUGAAGUUUAUAAUAAAUAUAUUUUUCUUUUGUAGUUCAUUUUGAAUAUGAAUUUAUUGUUCUUGCAUGCUUUCAUCUCGGGGGGACAAAGCCCAGAACUCGCGUAGAGUUCGGCUAGCUCCUCCAACAUCUUCCAAGUAUACUCAGGCAAUCCUUGUAGGAUAGAGUCCCAAACUCGCAUAGAGUUCGGCUAACUCUUCCAUAGAGUUCAACUAACUCUUCUCCUAGAUAUUUGCCAAGUAUACUUAGGCAAGUCUCGUGGGAUGGAGUUCGGAACUUGCAUAAAGUUUAGCUAACUCUUCCCUAAAUAUUUGCCAAGUAUAUUUAGACAAGUCUUGUGGGACAGAGUUCAGAACUCGAACAAAGUUCGGAUCUUGUAUAGAGCUUAGUUAAUUCUUUCCUAAAUAUUUGCAAAGUAUACUUAGGCAAGCCUUAUGGGAUAGAGUUCGGUACUCGUAUGGAGUUCGGUUAACUCUUCCCUAAUGUUAUAGCUGCUCGACCAAGCCGUAAGGUUGGAUGCUUUUUCUUACUUGUUACAGCUCAUUCAGACAAGUUUUGGUCAUGCCUUAGCGAAUCUAUUUUUUUUGUUAUAAUGUUUAAACCAAGUGAUUUUUUUUGUAUAAUUAUGAAAAAUAUUUAAUUUUGAUAAUAAUAAAGAACGAAAUUUUUAAGCAAUAGUUUUUUUACAAGUGUAACUGAUAUACAUACAAGCUCGAUUGAAAAAGUUAUAGUUUAUUGAUAGUACUUCCUCAAGUUGUUAAAAUUUCAAGGGCUUGAAGCUUGUUUGCCCUCAGGAUCUUUGAGGUAGUAAGCACUCAUAUCGGCGAGCUUAACUAUCUUGUAUGGUCCUUUCCAAUUUAGACCGAGCUUCCUGUUCGCUGGGUCCUUAGUAUUUUCAACAACUUUCCUCAAAACGAGAUCUCCAACUGAGAAUUGUAUGUGUUGGACUUUCUGAUUGUACAUCUUGGCUAACUACUUUUAGUAGUUUGCCAUUUGUAUUAGCGCAUUUUCUCCUCGUUCAUCAGCAAGAUUGAUAUCCCGAGCUAAGAAUCCCUCAUUAUGACUGACGUCGUAAGCUUCAGUUCGUAUUGUAGGCAUACCGACCUCCAGUGAGAUGACAGCUUUGAAUUCGAAAGCCAGAGCAUAAGGUGUUUCAUUCUUGCUCUCUGCGGUGUAGUUUGAUAGGCCCACAAAACGUUUGGCAAUUCCUCGUCCCAUUUGCCUUUAGCUUUUUUGAGUCUCUUCUUAAUCCCGUUCAUGAUUGUUUUGUUGGUGGUCUCAGCUUGCCCAUUGUACUGCGGGUAGCUUAAUGUUGAGUUGUAGAACUUGAUAUUCAAUUUCCUUAAUAGGUUCUUGACUUUCUGUCCUAUAAAUUGAGUUUUAUUAUUUGAUACAAAUGCCCUAGGGAUACCAAAUCUGGAAAGAAUGUUUCUACGGAUGAAUUUGAUUAUGUAGCCUCCACCCAUUUCAUGAAAUAGUCUAUUGCUACUAACAAAAAAUUCUUGUUCCCCGGAGCUCGAUGCAGAACUCCCACGAUGUCUGUUCCCCAUUGGGCAAAGGGCCACAGGCUGGUGAGAGGAGUAAAGUCCCUUGCUGACUGAUGAAUUAUGGGGGAAGAAGAGUUGACAUUUCAUACACUUGUGGAUGUAUACUUGGGUGUCUUUCUGCUUGGAUGGUCACCAGUAUCCCUAAGUUAGGGCUCAGUGGACUCUUCCCCCGGAGUGUAGUCUGCAAAUGCCUUCAUGAAUUUUAAAAAACACAUCCUAUACUAGACUUGGGUGGACGCACAGUAGGUAGGGCCCCAAAUAUAAUCUUUUAUACAAGUCUCCCGUGGGAGAGAUCUAGAAUUGUGCUGCUUUUAUUCAAAGUUUGUGCGCCUUUUUCUUGUCUUUUGGCAGCUUGUCAUGUUGUAAAAAAUUUAUAAUUGGGUCCAUCUAGCUCCGCCCAAGCUAAGUGUUGACUAGGAUGGACUCUUAAGACGUUUCAUGACUAAGGUCGAGAUCAAAUCACUGUGAUGGUUUGACCUGUUUCCCCCCCGAAAACUGAUGCCAAGCCUGUCAGUGAGUUUUCAUGUGAAUUUAAGUCCCUCCCUACUUGUUUGAUUUUGACUGCUUUGAAUUCGGUGAGGAGGGUUUUUGCUAUUGCCAAAUACUUGGCCAUCUUGGCUCCUCGAGUUUUAAAUUUUCCUUUGACUUUGUUGACUACCAGUUUUGAAUCAUAAAAAAUAUGGAGCUUGAGAACCUUUAAUUUGUUUUCAGACCAAAGUCCCACAAUGAAAGCUUCAUAUUCGGCCUCAUUAUUUGUCGUAGGAAAAUUUAGCCUAAGGCAGUAUCGAAAAUUGCUCCUUCAAAACUUUUUAAAACCACUCCUACCCUUGCUCCUAGGCUAUUUUUCGAUCCAUCAAUGAACAUUCUUCAUGCUAAGGAGAGAUCAAUAUGAAGUGGUUUUAUAUUAACCUCUAGAACCCCAUUGAUUUCCCCAGCGAUGGUUACUUCUGCACUUUGAAGUGGUUUUUUAAUAACAUUGUGAUCCUCGGGUGCUGAUUCGAUCUCAACUAAUUUUGCCUCCGAGCUCUCUUCCUCCUUGUGUACAGAUGCAAGGCAACCUUGCUUUGGACUCAAGGUUUGGGAGGAGAACUCAGCCACAAAAUCAAGAAAGGCUUGUCCUUUUAUUGUUGCCCUUGGCAAAAAUUUUAUAUCCGAUCGUCUAAGCUCAACGACCCAUUUGGAGAGCCAGUCGGACAGAUCUGCUUUGGACAUGAUGUUUUUGAGUGAAAACUUUGUAUAUACAGCGAUGAGAUGUGCUUGAAAAUAAUGCAUAAGUUUCUGCGAAGUUAAAACUAGGUUCAAUAAAGUUUUUUCAGUGGCAGCUACCUUAUUUGGCAAUCUGUAAAUGUCUUUCUAACAAAGUAGAUCAGGCGUUGCUGUCCAUCUACUUUUCUUAGAAGUACCGAGCUAAUUGCAUGUUCGGAUAUAGUGAGGUAUAUGUAGAGCAACUUUCCCUUGUCUAGGGUGGAAAUAAGCAGUGGUUGGGUCAAAUAUUAUUUGAAUUGUUGGAGUACGAGCUCGUAUUCCUCAUUCCAUAAAAACUUCAUGUUUUUGUGAAGGAGUUGAAAGAAUGGACGAUAUUUGUUAGAGGAUUUACUAAUGAACCGAUUAAGUGCUGUUACUAUUCUGGUUAGUUUUUAAAUCUCCUUCGCAAUCCUUGGGCUGACGAGGUUGUUGAUGGCCACAAUUUGCGCUGGGUUUGCCUCAAUCCCAUGUCGUGUUACCAAGUGUCCCAAGAAUUUCCCCAAGCUUACCCCGAAGACGCAUUUGGUCGCGUUCAAUCUCAUCUGAAUACCUUGGCUAGGUCCUUUACAUGGUCUGAUUCAUUUUUGCUUUUAACCACCAUAUCAUCAAUGUAGGCGUCCAUGGUUUUACCCAUGAUUGACUCGAAUAUUGGUCAAUUUUUGACAAAAAAAAGAAGUCUUUUGGACAAGUUUGGUUGAGGCUUGUGAAGUCAACACAAACUCUCCAUUUUCCAAUUUUCUUCUUUACCAUGACUGUAUUGGAUAGCCAUCUCGGGUAAAGAACAUCCAUUAUUGCACUAGCCUCUUUUAGUUUUUCUAUCUCUUCUAUCACAGCGUCCACAUGCUCAGUUGCGGACCUUCUUCCUCGUGUUUCACUAGUCGGGCCUCAAGAAGGACGUUCAACUCGUGUUUAAUGAAAUUGGGGUCUAUCCUAGGCAUCUAUUAGGGUGUCCACACGAAGAUCUCGAUAUUAACUGUAAGGAUCUAGAUGAGCUCAGUCCUCUCUCGUUACUCAAGGUUUGCACCAGUGAGAAAAAAACGAUCUGAGCUUGUCUCAUCUAGUGCAUAGCGUAUCAGGUCCUCCACGACCUUGGCCUCAGGGUCUCUCCCAACAUCCUCCAAUCUUGCUCAUCCUUGAUCAAUUGCAUUUCCUUCAUGGCCACCUUAUUGGAGAUCGUAGUAAGGUAGCAUUGUUUAACUGUCACCUGAUCUUCAUAAAGGGUUUCUUCACCUCGGAGGGGGGCAAAUUUGAUGACUGGGUGCAAUAUGGAAGCCACUCCCUUCAUCCUGUGCAACUAAUCUCGGCUAACGAUCACAUUAUACAUGGAAGUAUAUCAACCACAACGAACUCUGUCAUAAGCUCUUGAAAGUCAGCUCGGAUCAUGAGGGUUACAGUUCCAAAGGGCCAGUAAGACUGAGCGUUAAAUCUGACCAAAGGGGCUCAGGCAGAUUUUAAGUAUACUUUUGAUAGUUUAAGUUGUUUAAACAUGUCAUAAUACAUCACAUCGACAAAGAUUCUCAUGUCCACCAGGAUCCUUUAUAUGUCAUAAUUAUUGAUCAUGAGCUGGAUGACCAAGGGAUCAGCAUGAGGGUGUUGGACCCUUUCCAGGUCAGCUUUAGAGAACAUGAUGCUUUCCAAUUUAGACACUAUUUGUCUCAGUUUCUUGGUCAUUGAUUCGAUCGAGAAGACCUCGUUCAUUUGUUUGAUGAUGAGAAUCUCCACUCGGAUUCUAUUCUCAAGAUUAAGGUGAUUUAGGCCCCCUUAUCAUGUGAAUAGUACUUAGCAGAAGGUCUUCUUCUAAGGUGUUAUCUAUUUCUUCGUUGAUCCAGUUGAACCUGGGGUUAGGUUUGAUCUCGACUUCUUCUGCUCGAGUCUUUUCUUGGUCGGCAAACUCUUUCAAAUGUCCAUCCCGGAUAGGGAUGGCAAUGGGGCCAGGCAGGGCAGGGAGGGGCCAGAGGUUUGUAUCCCCUUCCCCG
rnacentral:lncRNA from 1 species